ACGUAGGGUGCAAGCGUUAAUCGGAAUUACUGGGCGUAAAGCGUGCGCAGGCGGCUUUGCAAGACAGAUGUGAAAUCCCCGGGCUCAACCUGGGAACUGCAUUUGUGACUGCAUGGCUAGAGUACGGUAGAGGGGGAUGGAAUUCCGCGUGUAGCAGUGAAAUGCGUAGAUAUGCGGAGGAACACCGAUGGCGAAGGCAAUCCCCUGGACCUGUACUGACGCUCAUGCACGAAAGCGUGGGGAGCAAACAGGAUUAGAUACCCUGGUAGUCCACGCCCUAAACGAUGUCAACUGGUUGUUGGACGGCUUGCUGUUCAGUAGCGAAGCUAACGCGUGAAGUUGACCGCCUGGGGAGUACGGCCGCAAGGUUG
rnacentral:rRNA from 1 species